rnacentral:rRNA from 2 species
AGCGUACACGGUGGAUGCCCUGGCAGUCAGAGGCGAUGAAGGACGUGCUAAUCUGCGAAAAGCGCCGGCGAGGUGAUAUGAACCUUUGACCCGGCGAUGUCCGAAUGGGGAAACCCAGUGCAAUUCGUUGCACUAUCGUUAACUGAAUACAUAGGUUAACGAGGCGAACCGGGGGAACUGAAACAUCUAAGUACCCCGAGGAAAAGAAAUCAACCGAGAUUCCCCCAGUAGCGGCGAGCGAACGGGGAGCAGCCCAGAGUCUGAAUCAGCUUGUGUGUUAGUGGAAGCGUCUGGAAAGUCGCACGGUACAGGGUGACAGUCCCGUACACGAAAGCACACAGGCUGUGAACUCGAAGAGUAGGGCGGGACACGUGGUAUCCUGUCUGAAUAUGGGGGGACCAUCCUCCAAGGCUAAAUACUCCUGACUGACCGAUAGUGAACCAGUACCGUGAGGGAAAGGCGAAAAGAACCCCGGCGAGGGGAGUGAAAAAGAACCUGAAACCGUGUACGUACAAGCAGUGGGAGCACCUUCGUGGUGUGACUGCGUACCUUUUGUAUAAUGGGUCAGCGACUUAUAUUCUGUAGCAAGGUUAACCGUAUAGGGGAGCCGAAGGGAAACCGAGUCUUAACUGGGCGUUAAGUUGCAGGGUAUAGACCCGAAACCCGGUGAUCUAGCCAUGGGCAGGUUGAAGGUUGGGUAACACUAACUGGAGGACCGAACCGACUAAUGUUGAAAAAUUAGCGGAUGACUUGUGGCUGGGGGUGAAAGGCCAAUCAAACCGGGAGAUAGCUGGUUCUCCCCGAAAGCUAUUUAGGUAGCGCCUCGUGAACUCAUCUUCGGGGGUAGAGCACUGUUUCGGCUAGGGGGCCAUCCCGGCUUACCAACCCGAUGCAAACUACGAAUACCGAAGAAUGUUAUCACGGGAGACACACGGCGGGUGCUAACGUCCGUCGUGAAGAGGGAAACAACCCAGACCGCCAGCUAAGGUCCCAAAGUCAUGGUUAAGUGGGAAACGAUGUGGGAAGGCACAGACAGCCAGGAUGUUGGCUUAGAAGCAGCCAUCAUUUAAAGAAAGCGUAAUAGCUCACUGGUCGAGUCGGCCUGCGCGGAAGAUGUAACGGGGCUAAACCAUGCACCGAAGCUGCGGCAGCGACGCGUAUGCGUUGUUGGGUAGGGGAGCGUUCUGUAAGCCGUUGAAGGUGUGCUGUGAGGCAUGCUGGAGGUAUCAGAAGUGCGAAUGCUGACAUAAGUAACGAUAAAGCGGGUGAAAAGCCCGCUCGCCGGAAGACCAAGGGUUCCUGUCCAACGUUAAUCGGGGCAGGGUGAGUCGACCCCUAAGGCGAGGCCGAAAGGCGUAGUCGAUGGGAAACAGGUUAAUAUUCCUGUACUUGGUGUUACUGCGAAGGGGGGACGGAGAAGGCUAUGUUAGCCGGGCGACGGUUGUCCCGGUUUAAGCAUGUAGGCGGAGGUUCCAGGUAAAUCCGGUACCUUUUAACGCUGAGGUGUGAUGACGAGGCACUACGGUGCUGAAGUAACAAAUGCCCUGCUUCCAGGAAAAGCCUCUAAGCAUCAGGUAACACGAAAUCGUACCCCAAACCGACACAGGUGGUCAGGUAGAGAAUACCAAGGCGCUUGAGAGAACUCGGGUGAAGGAACUAGGCAAAAUGGUGCCGUAACUUCGGGAGAAGGCACGCUGAUAUGUAGGUGAAGCCCCUGCGGGUGGAGCUGAAAUCAGUCGAAGAUACCAGCUGGCUGCAACUGUUUAUUAAAAACACAGCACUGUGCAAACACGAAAGUGGACGUAUACGGUGUGACGCCUGCCCGGUGCCGGAAGGUUAAUUGAUGGGGUUAGCGGCAACGCGAAGCUCUUGAUCGAAGCCCCGGUAAACGGCGGCCGUAACUAUAACGGUCCUAAGGUAGCGAAAUUCCUUGUCGGGUAAGUUCCGACCUGCACGAAUGGCGUAAUGAUGGCCAGGCUGUCUCCACCCGAGACUCAGUGAAAUUGAACUCGCUGUGAAGAUGCAGUGUACCCGCGGCAAGACGGAAAGACCCCGUGAACCUUUACUAUAGCUUGACACUGAACACUGGUCCUUGAUGUGUAGGAUAGGUGGGAGGCUUUGAAGCGUGGACGCCAGUCUGCGUGGAGCCGUCCUUGAAAUACCACCCUUUAAUGGCUGGUGUUCUAACGUAGACCCGUGAUCCGGGUUGCGGACAGUGUCUGGUGGGUAGUUUGACUGGGGCGGUCUCCUCCCAAAGAGUAACGGAGGAGCACGAAGGUUAGCUAAUCCUGGUCGGACAUCAGGAGGUUAGUGCAAUGGCAUAAGCUAGCUUGACUGCGAGAGUGACGGCUCGAGCAGGUGCGAAAGCAGGUCAUAGUGAUCCGGUGGUUCUGAAUGGAAGGGCCAUCGCUCAACGGAUAAAAGGUACUCCGGGGAUAACAGGCUGAUACCGCCCAAGAGUUCAUAUCGACGGCGGUGUUUGGCACCUCGAUGUCGGCUCAUCACAUCCUGGGGCUGAAGUAGGUCCCAAGGGUAUGGCUGUUCGCCAUUUAAAGUGGUACGCGAGCUGGGUUUAGAACGUCGUGAGACAGUUCGGUCCCUAUCUGCCGUGGGCGCUGGAGAAUUGAGGGGGGCUGCUCCUAGUACGAGAGGACCGGAGUGGACGCAUCACUGGUGUUCGGGUUGUCAUGCCAAUGGCACUGCCCGGUAGCUAAAUGCGGAAAAGAUAAGUGCUGAAAGCAUCUAAGCACGAAACUUGCCCCGAGAUGAGUUCU